UCACCAAGCCUAUAACCGGUACGGGCCGUGAGAGCGGUAGCCCGGAGAUGGGUACUGAGACAAGGACCCAGGCCCUACGGGGCGCAGCAGUCGCGAAAACUCCGCAAUGCACGAAAGUGUGACGGGGCUACCCCGAGUGCUCUCCGCUGAGGAAAGCUUUUCUCUGGUGUAACAAGCCAGGGGAAUAAGGAGAGGGCAAGACUGGUGUCAGCCGCCGCGGUAAUACCAGCUCUCCGAGUGGUAGGGAUGUUUAUUGGGCUUAAAGCGUCCGUAGCCGGCUUAGCAAGUCUCCUGUUAAAUUCAGCGACCUAAUCGUUGAGCCGCGGGAGAUACUACUAGGCUAGGAGGCGGGAGAGGUCAACGGUACUUCCGGGGUAGGGGUGAAAUCCUAUAAUCCCGGGAGGACCACCAGUGGCGAAGGCUGUUGACUAGAACGCGCUCGACGGUGAGGGACGAAAGCUGGGGGAGCGAACCGGAUUAGAUACCCGGGUAGUCCCAGCUGUAAACGAUGCGGGCUAGGUGUUGGAAUGGCUACGUGCCAUUUCAGUGCCGCAGGGAAGCCAUUAAGCCCGCCGCCUGGGGAGUACGGCCGCAAGGCUGAAACUUAAAGGAAUUGGCGGGGGAGCACAAGGGCGAAUCGCGCCCGCUUU
rnacentral:rRNA from 1 species